rnacentral:sRNA from 2 species
GCGUAAAAAUCGCUGAAUCCCAAAAUAAAAAGUUUUUGGGUACGGAGGAACCAAUUCUAUGGGGUGAAUCCAUAAGUAUUUAUGGUAGGUUUUGUCUUUUUACCGAACCCGUCAGCUAACUCCGGAAGCGUAAAAAGAAAGGGGUU